UUAUGGCUCAGGACGAACGCUGGCGGCGUGCUUAACACAUGCAAGUCGAACGGGGAUUAGUUGAUAGAGAGCUUCGGCAGGAAAUUGAUAAUCGAGUGGCGGACGGGUGAGUAACGCGUGAGCAACCUGUCCCAGACAGGGGGAUAACACUUGGAAACAGGUGCUAAUACCGCAUAAGACCACGGGAUCACAUGGUUCUGGGGUAAAAGGAGCAAUCCGGUUUGGGGUGGGCUCGCGUCCGAUUAGCCAGUUGGCGGGGUAACGGCCCACCAAAGCGACGAUCGGUAGCCGACCUGAGAGGGUGAACGGCCACAUUGGAACUGAGAGACGGUCCAAACUCCUACGGGAGGCAGCAGUGGGGAAUAUUGGGCAAUGGGCGAAAGCCUGACCCAGCAACGCCGCGUGAGUGAAGAAGGCCUUCGGGUUGUAAAGCUCUGUUAUAGUUGACGAAGGAAGUGACGGUAGGCUAUAAGGAAGCCCCGGCUAACUACGUGCCAGCAGCCGC
rnacentral:rRNA from 1 species